rnacentral:rRNA from 1 species
GAUGAACGCUGGCGGCGUGCCUAAUACAUGCAAGUCGAGCGAACGGACGAGAAGCUUGCUUUUCUGAUGUUAGCGGCGGACGGGUGAGUAACACGUGGAUAACCUACCUAUAAGACUGGGAUAACUUCGUGAAACCGGAGCUAAUACCGGCUAAUAUUUUGAACCGCAUGGUUCAAAAGUUAAAGACGGUCUUGCUGUCACUUAUAGAUGGAUCCGCGCUGCAUUAGCUAGUUGGUAAGGUAACGGCUUACCAAGGCAACGAUGCAUAGCCGACCUGAGAGGGUGAUCGGCCACACUGGAACUGAGACACGGUCCAGACUCCUACGGGAGGCAGCAGUAGGGAAUAUUCCGCAAUGGGCGAAAGCCUGACGGAGCAACGCCGCGUGAGUGAUGAAGGUCUUCGGAUCGUAAAACUCUGUUAUUAGGGAAGAACAGAUGUGUAAGUAACUGUGCACAUCUUGACGGUACCUAAUCAGAAAGCCACGGCUAACUACGUG